UCAAUGGACGAGAGUCUGAACCAGCCAAGUCGCGUGAAGGAAGACGGAUCUAUGGUUUGUAAACUUCUUUAGUGCGGGAACAAAGCGGCGUCGUGACGCCUGAUGAGUGUACCGCAAGAAUAAGCAUCGGCUAACUCCGUGCCAGCAGCCGCGGUAAUACGGAGGAUGCGAGCGUUAUCCGGAUUUAUUGGGUUUAAAGGGAGCGCAGGCUGCGAGGCAAGUCAGCGGUCAAAUGUCGGGGCUCAACCCCGGCCUGCCGUUGAAACUGUCCUGCUAGAGUUCGAGUGAGGUAUGCGGAAUGCGUUGUGUAGCGGUGAAAUGCAUAGAUAUGACGCAGAACUCCGAUUGCGAAGGCAGCAUACCAACUCGCGACUGACGCUGAGGCUCGAAAGCGUGGGUAUCGAACAGGAUUAGAUACCCUGGUAGUCCACGCAGUAAACGAUGAAUACUAACUGUUCGGAGGGCGACCUCUGAGUGGUAAAGCGAAAGCGUUAAGUAUUCCACCUGGGGAGUACGCCGGCAACGGUGAAACUCAAAGGAAUUGACGGGGGCCCGCACAAGCGGAGGAACAUGUGGUUUAAUUCGAUGAUACGCGAGGAACCUUACCCGGGCUCAAACGUCGGGCGAAUCAUCCUGAAAGGGGUGAGCCAGCAAUGGCGGCCGACGAGGUGCUGCAUGGUUGUCGUCAGCUCGUGCCGUGAGGUGUCGGCUUAAGUGCCAUAACGAGCGCAACCCCCGCGUCCAGUUGCCAGCGAGUAGAGUCGGGCACUCUGGACGGACUGCCGGCGCAAGCCGCGAGGAAGGCGGGGAUGACGUCAAAUCAGCACGGCCC
rnacentral:rRNA from 1 species